UGCCUAACACAUGCAAGUAUGGGUUAACAAAGUAGCAAUAUUUUGUUGAACCGGCGCAGGGGUGAGUAACAUAUAGGCAACCUACCUUUUGAUUGGGAAUAACUUCGCGAAAGCGAGGCUAAUACCGAAUAUUUUAAUUUUAUCGCAUGAUUUAAUUAUUAAAGCCUUCGGGCGUCAAAAGAUGGGCCUUUAUCCCAUUAGAUAGCUGGUAAGGUAAUGGCUUACCAAGUGAAGGAUGGGUAGCUGAUCUGAGAGGAUGAUCAGCCACCCUGGAACUGAGACACGGUCCAGACUCGUACGGGAGGCAGCAGUGAGGAAUAUUGCGCAAUGCCCGAAAGGGUGCCCCAGCGACGCCGCGUGAAGGAUGAAGACCCUAUGGGCCCCAACUUC
rnacentral:rRNA from 1 species